CUACAGCGGUGUCUGUAGGGGUCAGUGUCGCUCACAGUCGCUCAUUGUGAGGUGCUGAUGAAAACGAGUCAUGCGAUGAUUCUCUUCCGGGUCAAGCUUGUGCAUGGCUCGCUGGGUCAAAUUGGUCGUGUGAUAAAAUACACAUAUCAGCAGUCCACCAAUAUUUGAAUCAUCGUACCGAUUCUGAUAGCAUUUUAAUCUGUGAUGUAAUUCAUUGUGCGACAGUUCGUUCCUUUCUUUCGCUAGAAACUGGUAUUUUGGUGGACGCAUCGUCUCGCUGUGUGUGGAAGCCGUUUCUCGGGGAAACAAUGUCACGUCCGCGUUCGAGAUCUCCCUUGUAUUCAAGAAUCCCAACUCUUCAUGGGAGGAGAGCGGAAGGAUUAUUUGAGAACCAGAUACAUUCAUCGGUGCAGUCUGAUGCAUGGAGAAACCCUGAAUAUGUCAACAAGGUAGAAAAUAGCACACACUGGAACAAAGAUUCCUGUCAAGGAGAACAACAUGUCGACCACUGGGCCAGUUUUAUUGACGCGAUAGAGCAUGCUCAAAAAAGAGGGGCUUCAUCUAUGACCAGAUACCACAUGCAGGGAGAUGAAGAAAGGCCGCCUCAUUCUCCAAGGAGACUUCCUCGGGAAAGGCUACCUUCCCCUGAUCGCACACAUUUUGGUGUUGAAGAGCGUUACAGGAUGGCAACACCAGGCUGGAACAGGAAUGAAGGUGUUGAUAAGGAGCUCGGUUCACAACACAACCACAGAGAAUCGAGGGACAGGUCUUAUCCAAGACAUCCAGAAGGAAGAAAACAAGACAGGAUGGAGUAUGGAUAUCAUAAUGAAGAACAUGGCGAUCAGUAUCAAGAAAGGGGCUCCUUUGCAGAGAGGUACAAGAAUGCUUUUUUCCCCCCCGCUUCAUACGUCUGACAUGGAUGGGGAGGAACGAAGAAAAGAAGAAAGGAUUCGGUCACUUUCUUUGAUGGAUAAAUGUUUUUCUAAUUGUAUCUGUUACAUUUAAUCUCUUUAAUUUUACAUUUUAGUCAGUGUUGUAUUUAAUAAAUUGAAUCUUUAUUGUUACCCCUUAUUUUGUUCUGAGAGAUUAGUCUCAGUUGACUGUUAUUAUCAGCAAUUGUAAUAUAUAGAUCCAGCUAAUUGUAUGCUGAAAUCUUGCUAGUAACUAUCUAUUAUUGUAAUUUCAUUCUAAUCUUGGACAAAUGUUACUUGCUUUCUUAAUACAGGUCAUCAAAGUCAGAUUAUAGGGAGCAUCGCCCUUCUUCUGAAGGAAGGACGGAAUUUGGUCUGCAGGAUGAGUUUGUUGAGCAUCACAGGGGCUUCAGCCCACGUCGUGCACCUGUCAUUGUGGAACACGAUCAUGGAAUCGCAAAACGAGAUUCAA
rnacentral:lncRNA from 12 species